UACGAAGGGGGCUAGCGUUGUUCGGAAUUACUGGGCGUAAAGCGCACGUAGGCGGGUCGUUAAGUCAGGGGUGAAAUCCCAGAGCUCAACUCUGGAACUGCCUUUGAUACUGGCGACCUAGAGUUCGGAAGAGGUUAGUGGAAUUCCCAGUGUAGAGGUGAAAUUCGUAGAUAUUGGGAAGAACACCAGUGGCGAAGGCGGCUAACUGGUCCGAUACUGGCGCUGAGACGCGAAAGCGUGGGGGAGCGAACAGG
rnacentral:rRNA from 1 species